GGACAGAGGACUGUGAUGUAUUUUUUCCCAAGCACAUAUCUGACAGCUGCAUGUAGAAAUCAACUAUUCCUGAGUCUUCUGGUC
ensembl:snoRNA small nucleolar RNA, C/D box 121A